GAUAUGAAUAACUACAGUGGGAUCGUUUGUUCGUGAUAGGUGAAGACUCGCAACAAAUGUAACCAGUAUAGCCGACAGUGUCUGGAUAAAGGUGACUUAUCUGUAAAGAAAACGUACAUUUUGAGAAUUCAUAUAGACUACUUUGGAGCUUAUAUCCAACUAACGACGGGAAAUUUACUCUUCUCUUUUGUAAACAGUUUUAAGUCUAUAUGAGAUCUGUCAUUUUGCUUUUUAUAUAAAGGCAUAAUGGUGACAACAACUUCUAAUAUAGGAUAUUGAUAUUUUAAAUGAAACCGUCAUGAUUCAAGAAGUGUUAGGGUUUUUAAUCGGGGAGAGACUUGAAGGAUCUAGACACCUCUCUUGCUGUCUGGAGUUGAACGGUGGCGACUUCCAAAUUGUUCCGGUGGUAACCUCAACAUCCUGCUUCCACCUGGAUAUACACAGCACCUGUUGUUAUUAUAAUUGAACAGUAUGGAGACUAUUGGGAAAUUCGAGUUCAACAGGAAAGACCUGAUUGGACAUGGUGCCUUUGCCGUGGUGUUCAAAGGGAGACAUAAGGAGAGGCAUGACAUGGAAGUAGCUGUGAAAUGUAUUAACAAGAAGAAUUUGGCAAAAUCCCAUUCCCUGUUAGGAAAAGAGAUUAAAAUAUUAAAGGAACUGAAACAUGAGAAUAUCGUUGGACUACUUGACUUCCAGGAAAUGGCUGGGUGUGUGUAUCUGGUCAUGGAGUACUGCAAUGGAGGAGAUUUGGCAGAAUACCUCCACUCUAAGGCUACUCUGAGUGAGGACACCAUCCGGAUCUUCCUCCAGCAGAUAGCUGGGGCCAUGAAGGUGCUGAAAGAAAAGGGCAUCCUCCACAGAGACCUCAAACCUCAGAACAUCCUCCUCUGUCACCCUGAGGGACGCAAGUCCAGCCCUAACAACACCUGCAUCAAGAUAGCUGAUUUUGGCUUUGCACGUCACCUCCAGUGUAACACUAUGGCAGCCACUCUGUGUGGCUCCCCAAUGUAUAUGGCCCCGGAGGUGAUCAUGUCCCAGAACUAUGAUGCCAAGGCCGACCUGUGGAGCAUAGGAACCAUAGUGUACCAGUGUUUAACUGGGAAAGCUCCCUUUCAGGCCAGUAGCCCCCAGGAGCUGCGCCUCUUCUAUGAGAGAAACAGGGACCUCCAGCCCAGCAUUCCACGGGAGACGUCAGUCCACCUGAGACACCUGCUCCUGGGCCUGCUGCAAAGGAACCAUAAGGAGCGCAUGGACUUUGAUGAGUUUUUCCAUCACUCUUUCCUGGAGUCAAGUUCAUCCACAAAGAAAUCCUCUCCGGUGCCCAUGCCCUCCUACCCCAGCUCUGGGUCUGCCAGCUCCUCUAGCAGCUCCUCCACCUUUCACCUGGCCUCCUCCCCUCAACAUUCCGAUGCGGUGCUGCAGAGACUCCAGCCCAAGGCCGAGCCCACCCCUUCCCGGUACACAGCCCUCCACUACAGCAGGAACACCUCCUCUGAGAUGGAUGACUUUGUCAUGGUGCCUGCCCAGUUCCCCAGUGAGAUCACAUGUGACAUGGGAGAUGGGUCACCUGUCCAGGGCAGCAUGUUGUACAGUGGGAGCUCUCUGCUGGCUGCUGGGGUACUUGGGAGUCUAGGCAGGACACCACCCCCCUCUUCACCCCUCUGCCCCCCUAAUCCUGUUAGCAGGCCUGCAGAGUUCAAUGGGAGUAACUACAGCCAGUCUGUACCCAUUCCUGUCCCAACACAGAUCCACAACUACCAGCGCAUAGAACAAAACCUACACCCCGCUGGCCUGCAUGGCUCAACCAGGGCCACCCUUUGCUGUGUUGAUAGUAGUAGUGGCAGUUCCCCAGGGAGUAGGAAGACUGGAGCCUCCCUUCUCCCAUCAGGCCCCGGGGGGGCAGUGCUCAUCCACCGCAGGCUAUCAGCUGGAGGGGCCAAACCCUACCAGCCCUCUCCACAAGUGGGCACUAUCCCAGAGACCCCAGAGCAGACUGGCCUCUUCAGCACCUGGACAGGACAACAGAGCCCUCAGGCCACGCCUCCACAUGAAUUCCCCCGGCCCACCAGCUUUGAGGAUUUGCCCAUCAUUCCCACCCGAACACGGACGGUAUCAGACUUGAGCCACAUCAGCAGGGCCGCAGGGAAGAGGAAGGGCCCCUUCAAAAGGUCUCUGAGUGCAGGCCGUCUGUCUGACAUGAUGCUAAAGGCUGCUUUUGGAGCUCAGCUGCUGGAUGGAGGAAGUAACGAGAGCCUUCCCACUGAGAGGUCCAUGGACACCACAGCUCCAACUAGUGGUGCUCUGAGGGUUGCAGGAACCUCAGCCUCAGGCAGUCCCACCUCAGUCGUGUUCACUGGGGGAUCUCCAUCCAGAGGAAAUGCCGGGACCCCACCAAAUCCCACCAGGACGUUCUCAGCAGUGGGUUCCCCCAGCUAUGUCAGCCCAUCCUGGUCAAUCAGCAGAGGAACCCAUAGAGAUGUACCUAACUACCAGCAUAUUACCCACCCCAAGACAGCCAGCCCAGACAGGGCCAUAGAUUUUGACCCUCCAGAGCUCCCAGAGGAGACACUGAUGGGGCAGUGGCAUACGGAUGGCCUGAGAAACCUGCGCUUCACUCUUGCCUUUGUCCACUGUGUCAUGGAGAUAGCCAGUUCUAAAGACACUGGACUUGAGAGUGAGACCAGUGAGGAUGCUCCUGAUGUGUCUUUCCUGCAGCAAAGCCUGGUGGCUGAUCAGAUCAGUCUUCUAAGUCGGGAGUGGGGCUAUGCAGAGCAGUUGGUGCUGUACAUGAAGGCUGCAGAAUAUCUUUCGUCUGCAUUACACACUGCUAUGGAGGACAUCAAAGAAGGCAGACUCUUCCCCUCCUCUACAGUCAAGCAAGGUGAGACACGGGACCAUAUUUUCCUCUUCUCAUUGAUGUGUGCAAAAAAAAAGGCAAUUAAAUCCUGUUAAUCCCGAGAGUUUCGAUUUCCCCGCGGCCCCGUGGAAAUUUAAUUAGCAUAAUUUUUUACAUCCCCAUCAAAAUCGGUCAGUUUAAGCAAUAGAUAUCUGUUUUUUUUUGCAUUGGAUGCGUCUCAAUCCAACGCAUCUGCAGAUGUUGCACUUCCACAUCUGCAGAGCUAGAUGAUCGGUCUUCUCACGAAAACGUCUGUAGCAUUCAAAUGGUUUGGCCUACAGGCUAUUGGAAAGAUGAGACUCUCACGAUCACGAUGGUGUUUCUCCGUUUUGCUCUACGACCCCCACAAGCGUCUUGGGAUUCUUUUGAAAUCGGUACAGCUGAUCUUCCAACUUCUGUCUGUAGUGUCCGAACAAUUUGGGCUACACACCUUCUGUGGAAAGUGAUGAAGAAGAUGAAUGAGCUGUAUAAGAGCAGUGUGACGUCCUGUCGGUCCCUCAACGCCCGCCUGCAGAGCUUCCUCCUCAACAAGCAGAGACUGAUGGACCACAUGAGCAACAUCACUGCAGAGAAACUCAUCUACAGUCACACCGUGACCAUGGUGCAGUCAGCAGCCCUAGAUGAGAUGUUCCACCGUGGCCAGGCGCCCAUACAGAGAUACCAUAAAGCCCUUCUGCUCAUGGAGGGCUUGUCCCUUACCAUCACAGAGCAGGUAGACAUCGACAACAUAAGUAAAUGUAAACAGUGUAUUGAGAGACGCCUCCUCUCUGCUCUGCAGACUGCACAGUGUGAUUGAGCUUAAGGCUUUUGGACUAUAGCUACAAUAUUAGCUGAACCUCUGAGCUUGGUUAGAGCACCUCCAGACCUCUGAUGUCCCUCUGAUGUCCCUCUGUCCUAUGUGAAGAUGGAGCUCCUUGGACUGUUGACACACAUAAGCACUUUGAACUGAACAUGCUCAGUAACAAGGCCACUGAUAUGGCUGCUAUCAACCCACAGCCUAGCACUAAACAUUUUUAGUACCAGAAGAGAGGAGAAGAAGAGUGGGUUUGGUUCUGUCGGACUCCACUCUGAGAGCAGUGUGUGUUAUGUUACUGUUAAUCUACUGGAUUUAUCAGGCAUCACUGGACAAAAUUAUUAUUUUCAUCUCAAAUUAGCUCAUUUUACUUGAAAUAGUUGUUUGAGAGUAAAUAGAUGUCUGAGAGUGUAAUUUAAUGUACAGAAGGUGGCACUCAAUAAUAGAAGGGAAUUCGGUAAAUAUCUUUGGUACCAGCUGGUGUUAUAUUUAAAGAUGCACUAUGCAGAAAUCGCUCCACCAUUUCAGUUUAUGGAAUAAAAGAAGCAAGUAUAGUCUAGAGAAUCAUUGUACUAUUUAAACUGCUGUGAAAAAUAUUUUCCAUAACCAAAAAUAUUGUACUUUCAGCUGUUUGAGGCUGGUGUACAAAACCAAAAGUAAAAGACACAAAAACGAAACUUAAGAACGGGCUGAAUAGCACACAUAGAACAGAUCUACUGCGUAUUAAACUUGCUUUCAAUGACAACGUCAGACAGAUCUAUAACACACAUUUCUAUGUGAAUUUGGUCUUCGCCCAAAAUGUUACAAAUUGCAGCUUUAAACUGGAGGCAAAAAUAUGCAUCAUUUUCGGGAGUUGGAAAGUUGUGUAAGAGAAAGUGAAGACCAAGUAUUGCCAAUUUGUAGCAGAUUAUUUGACUGUCUUUUUUAAAAACUGCUUUUAGCAAUGUGUAUGUUUUUGACAAGCCACUGUAGCACAAAUACAUUUAUGAUAGACUUAUUCAUAAACUGUUAGGAACUUGUCAGAGAAUGUCAUUACUGUAUUGUCGAGAUCUUAAUCUUCUGUAAAGAGUGUCAAAUUUCAAGCCACUCUUUCCCAGUGUUCCCAGCAAGAUGGUCAUUUUACUCAGCGAGCACCACAUCGAGCUGCAUGCUUUUGUCUGUUUUUGCACAAAUAUUAGUGAAUGAUCAGUAAUGUAUAGGCUUGUGGAUGAGGCAAAUAAAUGGCUGAAAUAGGUUCAACUUCAGUACAGAAAACCUGUCCUGUAUUUUAUAUUUUUAGUAAGAUUUUGUAUAAAUCUGGGGGGUUUGUUUUGUGUGGAGUGGUUGGUUUUAAUAUUUCGUUUUUUAUGACUGCCUUGUGGCUAUACAUUUGAAUGAACCUAUUUCUGUUUUUACAUUCAAUGAAAAUGGUAUCAGCUUUCCGAAUUACUUUUUGACUAGGCACCUUUUGAAUAUUAAAUUAUAAUUAUAUUGCAAUUAUAUUGCAAAAUAUUGUAAUUAUUUUGACUGUAUGUUAUUUUUGUUCACCAAAACCGAGCUGCCAAAAUCAGUUUCAUAUGAGAAUAUUGUGUAAGAAUGAUUAAAAUAUAUGUUACAUUA